rnacentral:rRNA from 1 species
UACGUAGGGUGCAAGCGUUGUCCGGAAUUAUUGGGCGUAAAGAGCUCGUAGGUGGUUUGUCGCGUCGGCUGUGAAAACUCGGGGCUCAACCCCGAGCCUGCAGUCGAUACGGGCAAACUAGAGUGCGGUAGGGGAGACUGGAAUUCCUGGUGUAGCGGUGAAAUGCGCAGAUAUCAGGAGGAACACCGGUGGCGAAGGCGGUUCUCUGGGCCUGUACUGACGCUGAGGAGCGAAAGCGUGGGGAGCAAACAGG